rnacentral:rRNA from 1 species
UGGGGAAUUUUACACAAUGGGGGAAACCCUGAUGUAGCAACGCCGCGUGGAGGAUGACGGAUUUAGGUCUGUAAACUCCCUUUAUAAGGGAAGAAAUUUGACGGUACCUUAUGAAUAAGCACCGGCUAACUCCGUGCCAGCAGCCGCGGUAAUACGGGGGGUGCAAGCGUUACUCGGAAUCACUGGGCGUAAAGGGAGCGUAGGCGUUUUGUUAAGUCUUGAGUGAAAGCUCGCAGCUCAACUGCGGAACUGCUCAGGAAACUGAUAGAAUUGAGUAUGGAAGAGGUAGGUGGAAUUUCCGGUGUAGGGGUAAAAUCCGUAGAUAUCGGAAGGAAUACCAGAAGCGAAGGCGACCUACUGGGACAUUACUGACGCUGAGGCUCGAAAGCGUGGGGAGCAAACA